rnacentral:rRNA from 1 species
UACGAAGGGGGCUAGCGUUGUUCGGAAUCACUGGGCGUAAAGGGCGCGUAGGCGGCCGCUCAAGUCGGGGGUGAAAGCCUGUGGCUUAACCACAGAAUUGCCUUCGAUACUGUUUGGCUUGAGACCGGAAGAGGUUAGUGGAACUGCGAGUGUAGAGGUGAAAUUCGCAGAUAUUCGCAAGAACACCAGUGGCGAAGGCGGCUGACUGGUCCGGUUCUGACGCUGAGGCGCGAAAGCGUGGGGAGCAAACAGG